UAUUGUCCUCAUCUUGAGCUGUAAAUAAUUGUACAAAAUUACUCUGUGGACUUCAUCUAAAUGGUUCCAUAGACUCAAGGGAUGCAAGGGGUGAUUCAGGAGAUUUGGUUGCUUCAGGUGGUUCAGUAGAUUCACUAGAAUCUGGAGGUUCCAGAGAUUAAAUACACUAGGAGCUCAGGUGACUGCAUGUUCUCGCAAGCAAGGCUAUUUGCUCUGGGGAAACGUGCCAGAAUGCUGCCCUUAUCAUCAUCGAAGAGGACCACGAUGACGAUCCACAAGACAACCCUGACUAUUCAAUCAAUACUGUAUCUAUGGAGGACGACUACGACUAUCCACCAAUAGUGGAGGACUUACCUGUUGAAGAGUGCAGGCCAUCAAAAACAAG